CUUCCCCCGCCCGCCCGGCCGCGCCGCCCUCUCCCGGCGCUGCCCACCGCACCACCGCCUCCCCUCCCCUCCCCUCCCUCCCACUCGCGCCACCUCUCGCCGCCCACCCCAGCACCGACGUCCCCCCCUCGGCCGCUUGCCAGCGCCCGGGCUUCCUCGGAGCCGAGGCCUGCGGCGGGGCCUGUCAGAUCGACCGGCCGCGGCGCCGCCAUCUAGCGGAAGGAGGCCGGCGCUUCGUCGAUCGGUUGCGCCUCUCCCAUUCCCUCCCUGCAUCGCUCCCCCUGUACCGUCGCUCCCUGCCACCGACUGCAGCGCCGCAAGCGAGCGCAACGAGACCGGCGGCCUGCGGGCAAGGCUUUGAUCUGAGUGCUCGCAAUGGCGUUUAUGGGCCGGAUAGCUGGCGCUCAACUCUGCUCGGAGCUCUGCGGCUCACUCGUAAAUCUGAGGACGUACUCAUCCAGGGUGGACUGGAAGCAGCUGAGGCCAGUGAUUCUCAGGAGGAUUAAGAACCGGUCCAAGGAUUAUCCCGUCAGGCGAAUGAUCCCGGUGGCCCAGGAGGUGGUCCGGGCCAGAGAGAUCCUCACUCAAGGCGUCUCGAUCCUGCUCAGAGCUGUUCCUGUACAUUCAUGCAAGUUUUGUCCUGAAAUUCAUGUUGGAGCAAUGGCACAUCAGAUGAAAACAUGCUACGGUUUCAAACGUAUGAUCAAGGAUCAACCUCACAAAUGGGUUCCAGGCGGCUUGAAUAACAUCCUUGUCCCUGUUGAGGCAUUCCAUCUUGAAAACAUGUUCCAGGAUGAGAUAAAGCAUGACCAGAGGUUUGACUACAAUCGUGUCCCAGCUGUACUCGAGCUCUGCCAUCAGGCAGGUGCAGAGAUACCUGAUGGAGUUCUGUAUGGACGUGAUCAGCUAUUUGUGGCAACUGAAGAUAACAACCAAAAUCCUGCUCCUUUGCUACCUGAUGAACUUAGAUUGAUAGGUCAGAGAACACUGGAAGCAUGGGAAAGGCUCAGAUUAGGUGUGACAAAACUCCUAUUGGUCUACCCUUCCAAAGUGUGCGAGAACUGCUCUGAAGUGCAUGUUGGGCUAUCAGGGCACAAGGCAAGGAUGUGUGGAGUAUUUAAGUUUGAGGGCUGGCGGGGAAAACACAUAUGGAAGAAGGCUGAAGUGGAUGACCUAGUACCCCAAAAGAUUGUGUGGCAUCAGCGGCCUCAUGACCCUCCAGUUCUGGUGAACAGUGGACGGGAUUAUUAUGGUCACGCGCCUGCUGUUGUGGAGCUUUGUGUGCAAGUGGGUGCAAGAGCGUCACCGCGAUACAAUUGCAUGAUGAAAGAGCAUGGCUUAGCAGCACCUAUUCAAAUGGACCAGACCACGUAAGAAGUUGAUGGGUUGCUUAGUUAGAUCUGCCAUGAUGACGAUGUUAGAACUGUACAUAUCAGACAACAAGUGACCCUUUUGGAUGUGGAUCAAAUCCAAGUUCACAAAGAUUGUACUUUAGCGGAAUUCAUGUUGAUCAAUGAGGCAGAUAGUAAUCCACUUUGAAGAUUAUUUCUGUUACCGGAACAGGAGAGGUCAGGAGCAGCAGCGCUGAAUAGCAGCUGCGGGAGUGGGAGCUGCUGCCGGCGGUCGUGAGGAGAAUCACAUCCAUCCACCUCUGCGGAUUCUUUGUCCCUGAAGACAGGGAGGAGCACAGACUGUGCAAUCUCUUCAAGGUGAACUGCUCCUCUCCCUCCUCGAGGUUGAGGUAAAAGUGGUUCCAAACUCCCCCUCUUUGAUUUAACCCCUGGAACAUCUCAUCUUUGUUUGUACAGAUCCGUUCUAUCUUUGCAUAGAAGGUGUUUGAUGAAAAUCCUAGCUGUUUGUAAACCAUAAUGCUAAUUAUUUCAGAAGUCAUCUCAUAACCAUAAAGCCAAUAUCGUUAAGAAUGAACUUACUGAGAUAUUCUCUUGAGCCUGCUCUUCUUUGCUAUGAUAUUAUGUGGUUUAGGUGGUGAACUUGUAUUUUAUGUAACUGAUUGAACCUACUACGGCUAUGUUUUACGUACUACUGGUUAUCCUUUACUUCAUAGUUUCCAUUAUAUAUAUGGAGUAAUUUGAUGUAUAAAACUGAUUGUCCAUUUAAUAAUAAAUAGAGUUAUUUUACUUGAAAUUAAUCUGAUGAAGACAGUGCACAUAAGGGAAAGGCAGGGGAAAGGUGCAACGAGUUUUUGCUGCUUUGUGAAAAAGAGAUCCGCCAUUAUUCUAAACUUUCUUUUUUAAUGCGUCGUCUUCUUUGAGGAAAAAACAGAAGAUUCAUGGAGCGAUGCAUGGAGAUUCAUGAUGGCCUUGUUCAUGUGAAAGGCCUCAGAAAAGUGGAGUCACUUAAUAUGAGAUAUUGUAACUACAUCACGGAUUCAGAUAUCAAAUAUUUAUAAGAUCUCACAAGUUUGAAGGAUCUGCAGUAGUUUUCUUGUAGAAUUACAGAUCUGGGUGUUUCUUACCUCAGAGGCUUGUCUAAGUUAACUCAGCUAAACCUGUAGCUGUCCAGUGACUGCUGCUUGUUUAGAGGCUAUCUCAGGAGAUGGUGUGGCAAGAAAGGGCGAUUGCUGGCUGCUGCUCAGCUCCAUAUCAGGUGGAGCGCAAGAAGAUCUUUUCUCGCGUGGAUAAGGCUGCGUUGAUCCCUGUUUUAUUCGGCUCAGUACAACAGAGCAUGUACGCGCCAUUGCCUCUUCCUUUUCAGCCACCCAUUGAAAUGUCAUAUUGUAUUGCAAUCCAGAUGUGAAGAGGUAGCUCUCGGAGGUCCGCAACAAGGACAUGCCAGAUAAGUUCUGCUGGUCUUACAAAAGGUAUCUAUGAACAAUUAACCCAUUUGUGUGAAUACUUUUAUAUUAAUAGUUUCUUCUCUAUGAGAGGUUUAUAGGCCCUUAAUUAGCUGUUGAUGAUAGCUUUUUUUCCCCUGAAACCAAUAUGUAGGCAGUCUUUUAGUUGAAUCCCCACCAGUUUAUUUUCAGUAAUCAGUGUACAAAUGACCAAGUUUUAUGUUUAUGUCUGAAGAUUUUGAUUCACAUUUUCCUGCAUCUUUUGCUUCCAUUUCUAUCUUAAUCUUAUGAUCUCCUGAAUAUGCCAAAUGCUCCUAGAAUCGCAUCCCUAUAAAAUUCUUUCUUAAUGGUGCUCCAUAUAAGUUUCUUUCCACUAGAGAUGUGUCCACUGAGAGUGGAGCACACACUAAGAUGUAUUUAUUUGCAAAGUUUGAGUUCAAAAGUUGGACGUACUUUCAAGGCCAGCUAAUUCUCUAGUUCAUGCUUUGCUUGUGUGUCUAUUGUACAUAUUGCAGUUAUAGACCAGUUCUAUGAAUCCAUUUUUUUUAAUCUUGGCAAUACCCACUUUUCUGUACAGGUCAUGGUUGAUCUCUCGUGAUGAAAGGUAAAAUUGUGUUGUUCCAAUCAGUAGAAAAUUUUCAUUUAUAUGCGAUAGCUUCAUUCUUCUCUAGAAUCGAUUGAAGCUAUCAUAUGCAUCUUAUGCCCAACAGCUAAAUGUAUUUUUGCAAUUUACCUACAAUGAGCUCGUGUAUGCUCUGUGAUGUGAUUGCAGGUGCAGAUUGAUCUGAAUAAAGAAGUAACUAUUUAUGGAUGAAGGGUGGGCAUGAUCAGAUGGUAGGUAUCGUUUUCUUCGAGGUUGCCUUCAAUUAUAGGGAGCAAAUCAGGUGGUUAAUUGUUAUAUAUGUGGAUGACAUACCGUGUUCUAUCUUUGAUAGAGCUUUGUUAGUUUUUGAGCUGGGUAUUGUUUUUAACCAAAUCUUAAAAUUAGGAAGCUGACAAAACAUAGCUCAUUUUUACCUCAGUUGAAGCGAUGCAACUGUUUUAAUUUGUAUGAAUUACCAACAUGCAGAGAGCAAUUGUAUUUAUUUCGUAUUUCUUAUGACCCCUUUCUCUUUAUUCUAAUUUAGGAUGGCAUUUGGACGUUUUUGUCUCUGAUGCUGUUUUAUUUUCUCCUAUUCUCUUACCUUCAGUUUCAGUUUUCUAUUCUGUUGAAUUAGAAAACACACCAGGUCUUACCAGCUAAUUAGCUCAUCUAAGAUAUUGGUCAAGUAAAUGUGUGGAUGCUAAAGAAAAUAAAUUAUUUUUUUGCCAAUUUGUGUGUAUGUC